GUCCACGCCGUAAACGUUGGGCGCUAGGUGUCGGGGACCUUCCACGUCUUCGGUGCCGCAGCUAACGCAUUAAGCGCCCCGCCUGGGGAGUACGGCCGCAAGGCUAAAACUCAAAGGAAUUGACGGGGGCCCGCACAAGCGGCGGAGCAUGUGGCUUAAUUCGACGCAACGCUAAGAACCUUACCUGGGUUUGACAUGCAGGUAAAUCCCAUAGAGAUAUGGGGUCCGCAAGGGUCCUGCACAGGUGGUGCAUGGCUGUCGU
rnacentral:rRNA from 1 species